rnacentral:rRNA from 1 species
CGAAAGCCUGACGGAGCAAUACCGCGUGCGGGAGGAAGGCCCUUGGGUCGUAAACCGCUUUUCUUAGGGAAGAAACCUGACGGUACCUAAGGAAUAAGCCUCGGCUAACUCCGUGCCAGCAGCCGCGGUAAUACGGAGGAGGCAAGCGUUAUCCGGAAUUAUUGGGCGUAAAGAGUCCGUAGGUGGUUCAGCAAGUCUAUUGUCAAAGGUCGGAGCUUAACUCCGGAAAGGCAGUGGAAACUGUUGAACUAGAGUAUGGUAGGGGUAGAGGGAAUUCCCAGUGUAGCGGUGAAAUGCGUAGAUAUUGGGAAGAACACCGGUGGCGAAAGCGCUCUACUGGACCAUAACUGACACUGAGGGACGAAAGCCAAGGUAGCG